AGCCAUGCCGCGUGCGAGAGGACGGCCCUAUGGGUUGUAAACCGCUUUUGCGAGGGAGCAAUAAGGGUAACGUGUUGCCCGAUGAGAGUACCUCGCGAAUAAGCAUCGGCUAACUCCGUGCCAGCAGCCGCGGUAAUACGGAGGAUGCAAGCGUUAUCCGGAUUUAUUGGGUUUAAAGGGUGCGUAGGCGGUUUGCUAAGCGGGAGGUGAAAUGCCGGCGCUCAACGUCGGAAGUGCCUCCCGAACUGGUGGACUGGAAUGACUCUGCCGUGGGAGGAAUGUGUAGUGUAGCGGUGAAAUGCUUAGAGAUUACACAGAACACCGAUUGCGAAGGCAUCUCACGAAGGGUUGAUUGACGCUGAGGCACGAAAGCGUGGGGAUCAAACAGGAUUAGAUACCCUGGUAGUCCACGCAGUAAACGAUGAUGGCUAACCGCUGGGCUUAUCAGUUCAGUGGCCAAGCGAAAGCGAUAAGCCAUCCACCUGGGGAGUACGACCGCAAGGUUGAAACUCAAAGGAAUUGACGGGGGCCCGCACAAGCGGAGGAACAUGUGGUUUAAUUCGAUGAUACGCGAGGAACCUUACCCGGGCUCGAACGGCUGGUGAACGAUGCAGAGAUGCAAAGGCCCUUCGGGGCGCCAGUCGAGGUGCUGCAUGGUUGUCGUCAGCUCGUGCCGUGAGGUGUCGGCUCAAGUGCCAUAACGAGCGCAACCCUUGCCGUCAGUUACCAUCAAGUGAUGUUGGGGACUCUGGCGGGACUGCCACCGCAAGGUGUGAGGAAGGGGGGGAUGACGUCAAAUCAGCACGGCCCUUACGUCCGGGGCGACACACGUGUUACAAUGGCGGCCACAGAGGGGCACUACCUGGCGACAGGAUGGGAGUCUCGAAAAGCCGUCUCAGUCCGGAUCGGAGUCUGCAACCCGACUCCGUGAAGCUGGAUUCGCUAGUAAUCGCGCAUCAGCCAUGGCGCGGUGAAUACGUUCCCGGGCCUUGUACACACCGCCCGUCAAGCCAUGAAAGUCUGGGGCGCCUGAAGUCCGUGACCAAGAGGAGCGGCCUAGGGCGAAACAGGUAAUUGGGGCUAAGUCGUAACAAGGUAACCCGGGCGGCCGCUC
rnacentral:rRNA from 1 species